rnacentral:rRNA from 1 species
GAUGAACGCUGGCGGCGUGCUUAACACAUGCAAGUCGAACGAAGCUCCGGACGUGGAGGCUUCGGCCAAAGCAGAAGGAAGACUUAGUGGCGGACGGGUGAGUAACGCGUGGGUAACCUGCCAUAUACAGGGGGAUAACAGUUAGAAAUGACUGCUAAUACCGCAUAAGCGCACACUGAGGCAUCUCAGGGUGUGAAAAGCUCAGACGGUAUAUGAUGGACCCGCGUCUGAUUAGCUAGUUGGAAGGGUAACGGCCUACCAAGGCGACGAUCAGUAGCCGGCCUGAGAGGGUGAACGGCCACAUUGGGACUGAGACACGGCCCAAACUCC